AUUGAACGCUGGCGGCAGGCCUAACACAUGCAAGUCGAACGAGUGGCGGACGUGUGUGUAAUGUCUGGGACAUUGCCCGUUGGAGGGGGUUAACUACUGGAAACGUUAGCUAAUACGCCAUACCUUCGGAUUGGCCUAGAUGGGAUUGGUUUGUGGGUGGGGUAAAGGCUCACCUAGGCGACGGUCCCGAGCUGGUCUGAGAGGAUGAGCAGCAACACGGGAACUGAGAAACGGUCCAGAAUCCUACGGGAGGCAGAAGGGGGGAAUAUUGGACAAUGGGCGAAAGCCGGAUGCAGAAAGGCCGCGUGGAUGAGGAAGGCCUUCGGGUUGUAAAGUACUUUCAGCGGGGAGACGUUACCCACAGAGGAAGCACCGGCUAACUCCGUGCCAGCAGCCGCGGUAAUUC
rnacentral:rRNA from 1 species